rnacentral:rRNA from 1 species
UACAGCGAAAUCAAAUGAACAUUAUUGGUUUUGAAGUAAUUAAUAUUAUUUUUAUAAAUGGGAAUUGAGAAAAAUUAUUAUAAGGUGAAAUAUUUAUAAUGUCUUGAGGUAUAUUUAUUUUUGUAUGAUUGUUAUGAAAGUAAAAAUAUAAACUA